rnacentral:rRNA from 1 species
UGGGGAAUAUUGCACAAUGGGGGAAACCCUGAUGCAGCGACGCCGCGUGAACGAAGAAGGUAUUCGUAUCGUAAAGUUCUGUCCUAUGGGAAGAUAAUGACAGUACCAUAGAAGAAAGCUCCGGCUAAAUACGUGCCAGCAGCCGCGGUAAUACGUAUGGAGCGAGCGUUGUCCGGGAUUAUUGGGCGUAAAGGGUACGCAGGCGGUUUAAUAAGUCGAAUGUUAAAGAUCGGGGCUCAACCCCGUAAAGCAUUGGAAACUGAUAAACUUGAGUAGUGGAGAGGAAAGUGGAAUUCCUAGUGUAGUGGUGAAAUACGUAGAUAUUAGGAGGAAUACCAGUAGCGAAGGCGACUUUCUGGACACAAACUGACGCUGAGGUACGAAAGCGUGGGGAGCAAACAGG